AAUAUACUCCCUCCGUCCCAAAAUUCUUGUCUUAAAUUUGUUUAGAUACGAAUGUAUCUAGUCACAUUUUAGCAUUUAGAUACGUUCAUUUGUAGACAAACCUAAGACAAGAAUUUCGGAACGGAGGGUUAUUUU
rfam:Hordeum vulgare subsp. vulgare, WGS project CAJW01000000 data, contig: morex_contig_1580026